AGCUCUGUGGAUUCAGCACAUGUCCUUCGCAAAACCACGAGUUAGCGGAUCAUGGUGGCCCCUUUGUUUGAGGUUUGUCAUCCCGUUUUUGAAACCUUUUUGAUUUGGCAGCAAAGCUCACCAUUCCUUCUGACACUGCUCUGUGAACACUGCCGCACACUAUUUCUGUCUAUGGUAGCCUAGGGACUGUCUGGAAAAGGUAAGGUUUGCAUUCACUGGCGGAGAGUGUGAGAGGGUUUCUUUUGGCAAACCACUCCGUGUUUGCCUUGCCCCUGAAUUUUAUGUAAUUUGUCCUGGUGAAGGUCUUUCUGAUAGAUAAUUAUUCAACUCCUGAGCUGUUGAGUUUAUCUAAAUGCUCCAAAAAUAUGAUUUUCUUUCCCUCUCAUUAUUACAUUGUCUGAUAUAUGAUUUCCGUGUCACUAAUUCAUUUCUUAACCCUCGUUUUUUUCACAUCAUCUGCACAUCAUCCCUAGAUUAUAAAUGUAACACAACCUCUUUACUAGUGUUACGCUAGCCUUGAUACAUUUUUGUGCUUGAAUUUAAAUCCCACAACAUUAGAUGCUUGGAUGGUCCAAUAUGCCUCUCUGGAUCCUUCCAAUACAGGACUCUAUCGUGAUGGGUCUUCCUUACCCUUUGCUUAUGAACAUGGUUUCUGUUUAUCUUUACCUCUCAUUUGACCCUUCCCUUUCUCCCUGCCCCCCCUUCUGGGUUGUAUCUUUCGCCACUUCCACAGGUAAGGCUCAUUUCCUGGACUCGGCUUCAAGAAAACUCCAGAACGGUAGCCUGCGGCGCCGGCCACAGAAGCAACAGCCAAAGGACGCCUCGGGACAACUUCCUGCCCAGGCCGUGGACUUCCUCCAGUGCCCAGACAGCCUUUCUUGUUGUGACUCCAAUCGUCACCCACGCUCCCCCAGCUCCAUGAAUGGCCUCCUCAGAACCUUCAAGGUGAGUCUCGCUGAGGGGAUACCACACCCUGCCGGCAUGGUAUCGGAUCAACAGCAGGGCGUGGGUCUCCCGGAUGCCAUGUGCUUCCAGGCCAGCCAGCAGGGCCUCUCCAUAGCCCAGGGCGGGCCUCCGAGCACAGACGCGAACCCCACCAGCCAACGGGUGCGAGCCGGGUCGCGCGGGGAGGCCGUGUCGAGUGUCAUCGUCCGCAAUUGUGCGUUUUCGGCACCCCAAGCGGCCCCGCAGCUGGACCUCUCCCAGUCAGUCAUUCACGGGUCGCCCCGUGCCUAUCCCGACGAGGCCUCUCAACAACCGGCCGGGCCGCGACGGACCCCCGCGAAACUCAAGCACUCUAACGGCCUGCCCUCCGCCCCGGAGGCGCUGCUUCAGUUCGGCCGCGGCCCGCAAUGGAGCUCCGGUGCCAACGGCGGUCCGCCGUACGGGCUCAGCCAGGCCGAGAGGAGUCUGUCGCAGGCUCGGGCGCAGGACGGGAGCGGCUUCUACACAGAGUUUAUGGCCAGACACGCCUUCCCCACGCCGCAGGAGCAGAGCCCCGCUCAGCUGAACGGUAACCACCCCAGGAACGGCCACCUCGGCCCAGCGAGGAGCGGAGCCCACGCGUCAGGCGGGGUCAUCCAGUCCCCCGAGCACUGCCCUGCUGCCGAUGGCCGGCAAGCGUAUUUUCCCAAGCGGUCCAACGGAUAUUUAAACGGUCAGCUCAACGGGAACUACGGUGGCGGCGGCGGCGGCGCGCGUGAUGCAGGCAGCCUCAACGGGUCCUUUGUGCUGAAUAUUGCAGAAGGCCAGAUGAGUGAAGAGCGGCUCAUGGGACCCGUCAGCCUGCAUCACCCUGGGCGACCGUUGGCCCACAGACAACCGGCACAACCCGGAGGAGAUCUGCUGUGGGCCGGGGCCCCGAGCUUUCAUCCCUGGCCCGGCAAGAUGAAAAUGGAGGGGCCGUCUUAUCUCUGCAGUGUUGGUGAAAUGAUGCAAAGCAAGAUGGAGCCUGUGAGAUUUCACCAGACCUUGAAGGAUGACCUGAACACAUUGCACAAAGCUAAUGGUAUUCACCUGAGUGCUGGGGCAGUAGACGAUCACAUGGAGGAUGCUUUGCACAAUGCAAUGGGCCAGUGGCACAAAUUUACAGCUAAUGUAGGCCUAGAUGGUGUACGGAAAGCCCCCAAAGCCAAAAAGAGGAAGAUCUUUAGAUGACAGGAACCUAUCGAUGGAUUUUAUUUAUUUAUUUAUUUAUUUUUGAUUCUCUUCAAAUGGAUGGAAAGCUCCCCAAUUGUAUUUUGUAUUUAAUAUGAGAAAAAUGUCUGACUUCUGUGAAGCCACGACAGUUUGUGGAAGUUUACAUAUUUGGCACUAUCCGGGGGAGAAAACAACAUAAUUGUGUGAACUUAGUUGUUCUUGUGAGAAUCAUCAAAUUUGAACUACUGAAUACCUAGUUUCUUAGAUCAUGAAGAUGGUAUUCAUAUCAAAUGGUUAGAGGGGCUGUAGGUAAGAUUUGGUUUCCAUUACUUUGUCAUUGUACACACAAAUGCCAGAUCAAUACAUGUUAUAUAGCAAGAAUAACAUGCCUCUAAAGCUUUGAAAUAUUAAAUGAUAUUCAAAAAACAUGUGUUGCUUUGUUUACUAAAUUGCCACAUCCCUAUAGCUUGCAUUAAAAUGUGUUCCUAAAGCGGUUCAAACUAUCCUUUAGUUGACUAAGAUAAAUCUAGGUUAUGAAGUUCUCAAGGUUUCCUCCAUCACAUCAAUCUAGUGAAAUUUGAUUGAGUAAAUGUGUUAAAAGCAACAUUAGAUCACCUUUGUUAAAGCACAGAUUUAGUCAACCGUGCUAUUCCUUCAGUAUUUACAUUCUGCCUAAAAUCUAAACCAACCAGUUGGACUGUUUCUCAAUUAACCUGAAUGUCCUCAAAAACAGACUAUUAUAUUGCUGCACAGAUUAUUUUUGAACAGGUUAUCACGCAAUUUCAAACACUGAAUGGUGUCCCAAUUUCUCCACUGCAAAGUUAUUAUUAACUUUUCAUAAACUUCCCAUUAUCCAUGUUCCUCGUGUGCUGCUUUAAUUCCUUAUUCAUAAACUAUAUUAAUGUGUAUGCGUUCUACUAAACUAUAAAAAGUAAAGACAAAACCAAAGUAGAAUUGUGAAGCGUGAACCAUUUUCUAACAGCUGGUACAUGAUUGUCUGCACCUUGUAGCAUUGUACUAACUUUAAUAGGUGUCAUAUGAAUCAUACGAUGCAUUUUUUGUCAAAGACCAUGCCUCAUAUUACUAAGGGUUUGUUUUCGGUCUCCAAAUUCAGUUUUUGCCAAUAUCCCAUCCACUAGCAUAACAACUUUCUGCAUAUGUUCAUAUGUCCUCUUGCAUAAAAUGUUUGUCGAUUUUCUAAACCCUAUGCAGAGGUUCGUUCUGGUGUUUAUCAAUAUAUUUGGGAAACACUGAUUUCCAAAGCUGUAUUAUCUAUAAAGAGUGGUUACAUAUCAAAUCCCUGUAAAUUAGAUUUUCUUUUAUCAGCCAUACAGCCUGGGACUUGGCCCUAACACUAUUAUUGCUGUGCGAUCUCAAAUCAUAUACUGUUCUUGUGAUUCUUUAUUAAACUAAUUUCAGGAUGUCCUUUUAUUGUAAUAUUUACAGUAUUCAGAAAGCUGUAAUCAUAUAAUUAUACCAUACCCUUAAUUAUGUAUUUCAAUUCCCCCCCCCCACACACACUUGCAUAUAUCAGAGCUGGAUGGUCAUUGACAGAGAAGCAUUUUAAUAUCACGUAAGAAAAUCCUCAUCUUGUAACCAACCACAUGAAGAUAAUUCUAGAUAUCUAAUUAACCUGGCUUAUAGCCAAUGUAUCCUAAUGGAAAAAAAGGUAAUACUUGAAGAUCAUGAAUAUAUUGAAAUACUUGAAUAUGACGAUACGAUAAUUGAAGUGCAUGUAAAUGAUCUCACUGAUUUAAUGAGUUUUACUGUAAAUAUUCUAAGUGAUUGUAUGCAUAUUACAAUUUUAGUUUUGUCUUAUUUUGAAAUGAAUGUUAUACUAAUUAAGGAAAGGAAAGGAAAUCUACCCCAUGUCGAAGAUGGUGCUCUAUAUUUAAAAUGUAAAUUGUAUAUAAUGUAAUGUAAUGUUAUUUGUAAAUGCCCAUAAUGUUCUACCCAUUUAUGAAAUGUUCUUAAUCAAAUCCUAUGGCAUUUCACCAUCUUAUACAAUUUUAAAUAAUGUUCGACUGCAACAGGAAAUGUCUAUUAAACCUAUAUUUUGUUACAUAAAUCUUCCAGUUACAUUUAUUCCAAAGUUUUUAUGAAGAAAGAAAAUAUUGUCUUUACUUUAUAUUAAAUGGUUGUAUCAACUGAAUCUUUUGUCACAAGUAAAUCACAAAAAUAAUGAUUGAGUAAUUGUAAAUCCCGAAAUCGGAUGGAAUAACAGCACAGUAAAAUAUCCAAGCCUGUAGUUGGGUAUCCUACCCCCUUAGAGUAAACACAUGCUGCCUCAUGCAAACUGAAACUGCUCAUGUUUUUC
ensembl:lncRNA